GCGGUAGUGCUGGAAUUGGCAGACAGGCACGUUUGAGGGGCGUGUGUUGUAUGACGUAUGGGUUCAAGUCCCAUCUACCGCACCA
rnacentral:tRNA from 2 species